UUUAGGCUUAGGCUUAGGCUUAGGUUUAGCCUCAGGCUUAGGCUUAAGCGUAAGUUUUGGCCUAAGCGUAGGAUUAGGCUUAGGCCUAGGCUCAGGUCUAGGCUCGGGGCCAAACUUACGCUGAAGCUAAUUCUUAGGCUUGGGCUUAGG
ensembl:ncRNA BE10.7 ncRNA